rnacentral:rRNA from 1 species
AACGAACGCUGGCGGCAGGCUUAACACAUGCAAGUCGAGCGCAUCCUUCGGGGUGAGCGGCAGACGGGUGAGUAACACGUGGGAAUCUACCCAACCCUACGGAAUAGCUCCGGGAAACUGGAAUUAAUACCGUAUACGCCCUUAGGGGGAAAGAUUUAUCGGGGAUGGAUGAGCCCGCGUUGGAUUAGCUAGUUGGUGGGGUAAAGGCCUACCAAGGCGACGAUCCAUAGCUGGUCUGAGAGGAUGAUCAGCCACAUUGGGACUGAGACACGGCCCAAACUCCUACGGGAGGCAGCAGUGGGGAAUAUUGGACAAUGGGCGCAAGCCUGAUCCAGCCAUGCCGCGUGAGUGAUGAAGGCCUUAGGGUUGUAAAGCUCUUUCACCGGAGAAGAUAAUGACGGUAUCCGGAGAAGAAGCCCCGGCUAACUUCGUGCCAGCCGCCGCAGUAA